rnacentral:rRNA from 1 species
CUGCGGCGGAUUAGCUAGUUGGUGGGGUAACGGCCUACCAAGGCGAUGAUCCGUAGGGGGCGUGAGAGCGUGGCCCCCCACACUGGCACUGAGACACGGGCCAGACUCCUACGGGAGGCAGCAGUGAGGAAUAUUGCACAAUGGGCGCAAGCCUGAUGCAGCAACGCCGCGUGAGGGACGAAGGCCUUCGGGUCGUAAACCUCUUUUCUGGGGAAAGAGCAAGGACGGUACCUCAGGAAUAAGUCUCGGCUAACUACGUGCCAGCAGCCGCGGUAAAACGUAGGAGGCGAGCGUUAUCCGGAUUUACUGGGCGUAAAGCGCACGCAGGCGGCUCCGUGAGUCGGACGUGAAAGCUCUCGGCUUAACCGGGAGAGGCCGUUCGAUACUGCGGGGCUUGAGGUAGGGAGAGGAAUGCGGAAUUCCCGGUGUAGUGGUGGAAUGCGUAGAUAUCGGGAGGAACACCUGUGGCGAAAGCGGCAUUCUGGCCCUCACCUGACGCUGAGGUGCGAAAGCGUGGGUAGCAAACAGGAUUAGAUACCCUGGUAGUCCACGCCGUAAACGAUGUCAACUGGGUGUCGGUAGUUUUACACUAGCGGUGCCGAAGCUAACGCG